CGUUGUUCGGAUUUACUGGGCGUAAAGGGCGCGUAGGCGGCCACGACAAGUCACUUGUGAAAUCUCCGGGCUUAACCCGGAGCGGCCAAGCGAUACUGUUUGACUGGAGUGCGGAAGGGGCAGCCGGAAUUCUCGGUGUAGCGGUGAAAUGCGCAGAUAUCAGGAGGAACACCGGUGGCGAAGGCGGGUCUCUGGGCAACAACUGACGCUGAGGAGCGAAAGCGUGGGGAGCG
rnacentral:rRNA from 1 species